rnacentral:rRNA from 1 species
GGGUGUGAUCAUACCUACGUUAAUGCACCGGAUCCCAUCAGAAAUCCGCAGUUAAGCAUGCUUGGGCUAGAGUAGUACUGGGAUGGGUGACCUCCCGGGAAGUCCUAGUGUUGCACCCU